ACUGUCAGCAGUAUUGUCACAGUGGCUACUCUCUUGCAUUCCAGUUAUUCUUUGCUUGAUGACAUCAUUAAUCCAAGAUGGCUGACAGUGAUGGCUGUGUGCUAAAUGCCUCAGGCAUAUUUAGGAAAGACUUUUAUUCAAGGACGUCAAUUGAGCAGUAACUUUAAUGAAGGUGAGAGAUGACGAGGGUCGAUGGCUCGGUGUUCCCGCAGAGGACAAACACGGGGGUUCAAGGUGUCUGAAACAGAAGCCAAAGAUGAUGAUGAGGGACAAACCAGAGCCGUUUCUCAAUAUGCCGCCUUGUCUGUAUCUGCGCUCUCGUGAAACAUCAUCAACAAUUGUUUAUUUUUUGGUACACUGUAAAAAGCCAUUAGUUAUUUUACUUAUCAAAAGUGAG